GGCAGUUUUGGUUAACUUGCACACACAAGAACCACCCACACACUCAUUCAAGAUCAAGUAGAAAUUAUAGAAGGAAUUGAGAUGGAAAUAAAGGGGGAAAUGAAGCGUUCGAAAUUCAAGAAAAUAUGUGUAUUUUGUGGGAGCAGUCCAGGAAAGAGAAGCAGUUAUAAGGAGGCAGCUGUGGAGCUUGGAAAAGAAUUGGUAUAUAUUUUUCUUCUAUCUGUAUUCAUUUUUUAAUUUUUACCUCAUAAUUUUCUUCUUCUUUUUUUCGGUUAAAAUAAUUGAAGUCUUUUUAGUUUUGGGUUAGUAUUGAUUAAAAACUCGUUGUACAAUAAUAAAUUGGAAAAUAGUAUAAUUUGCACCCACAUUAGUGCUCUUCUCCAUGUGCAUGUAUACACAAACUGAUCUAGUUAUACUAGAAAAAAUUAUCCACCCUUGUUUGGUUUUGAUAAAAAUUAAAUAAUUUAGUCAAUUUUAAUACAAGUUGUGAAUUCUAUGAAUAUACAGUAAAAAAUGAGUUUUGAAAGGAAAAAAAAGGUUUUAAGAAAUGGAGGCCAAAUAGACUAGAUAAGAUAAUGAACACGAUUCUAAAUUUUUUUGUGAAUUCUACACAGCGUCAAGAAUGUGUGUCAAAUCAUGCAAAACAUACACAAUAGUCGUGCAAUUAGUUUCAUUCUGCUUAGUAUUAAUUCUUUGCAUCUUUUAACAAUCGACAAGUAGUGUCGCAUAGUGUUCACAUACUAGUGAUUCGAACAAUUUCAAGAAAAGAAAUACUAGUGUUCAUUUCACUUCCAAUAUAACAUUUGUUUCACAAAAAUGUGGAGUAAAAUCGAAGUUGUCUCUUUUAAGUUGUCAUUGAACUUGUGGUGUACUAAAGGUAUCAAGAAAUAUUGACUUGGUAUAUGGUGGAGGAAGCAUAGGUUUGAUGGGAUUGGUGUCCCAAGCAGUUUACAAUGGUGGUCGCCAUGUUCUUGGGUGAGUUUCUUGUUUUUGCUCAAUUUUCUUUUCAUGAGAAAAAUUGUUUCAAGAAAGACUGAUUUGAAAGAAAAAUAAAUAAAUAACUUCACUUAUUAAUUUUCUUUAAAAAGAUCUCUUUUUAGUGGAGAUUUUAAAAAUGUACUUCUAUUUUUAUCAUAUUCUUCGUCUUCUUCCUCAAACCCAUCGCCUUCAUGAUAGUCCUACAAGGCCCCCUUCUUUCAGAAUCUUAGCCAUUGUCCCCUUCAUCACUCUGUAUCCUCUACUUCUGAGGAAGUCUCUCGAGCUGUGAAUUGGUGCUUGUGAGACUUCAGAGUCCCCCACACUGCUCUAGUGCAUUGAGUGGAUGGAGGGGCCAACUCGGCUGGAGCGAACGGGUGUUACACAAUAGGGUAAAUGGGCAGAGGGUGAAGAAGAAGAAGAUGGCAUAAGCAACAAAUUAUGUUUAGGAACAUUAAAUUAGACACUUGACGUAUAAAGAGAAUGUUUUAAAUGAAAAAAAAAAAAAAAGAAGAAGAAGAAGAAGAUAAAAAGGGGCAAUUUUCUAGUCAUACGAUCGGUCUAUCUUAAAGAAUUUGUCAAUGUUAUACUAUUCUUAGAAGUUGCAAAUAAUGAAGGGCAUGAUUAAUUUAAAUUAGAUGGAUAUUAAUAUUAGUUAAAUAAAUUUUAAUGUUAAUUACUUUGUUAUGUUCUUAUCUCCAGAAUAAUUCCCAGGACACUCAUGCCUAGAGAGGUAUCUUUCUUUCUUUUUUUUUUUUUCUUUUUUUUUUAAUAUUUAAAAUUGUCUUUUUUCUUUUUUUUUGGAAGCCCCUAUUACACAACUUACAAAUUGAAUUUCUGCUGUAUAUUCCUUAUCUUGGACAUGCAUCUCUCAUUCUCCCAACACUGCAUCUAAUUGAAUUUGUCUUUUGUCUUGUUAGACAAAUCCAGUUGAACUAUUUCGUUUAAAAUACUUAAAAAUUUUAAAUACUCUAAGGCAGAUAAAUUUAAUUUUUUAAUUUCUUUUAAUUUAUCUUUUUACACACAGGCUCAAUUUAUUUCUUUGAUCAAAGACUUGACACGUGUAUAUUUUUAUUAAACAACUCAAACCUUGAUAUGAUAUCAAGUUGAUGCAACUCAUCUGAAAAAUAAAGUAUUCAUCACUUAAAUUACAUUUUUUUGUUGAAACUAAACAUAAAUAAUAAAUGCUCCCCUGCCAAAUAACUUUAAUUUAUUGAGAUGGUCUUAAUUUAUAUCGCGGUAAGAAAAAGACCAUAGUCCAUAUGAAAAUUUUAAUUUCUACUUACAAAACAGUUAUUUAGUUCAUGUUUGGUAGAAAUUAAAAUUCAGAAUUUUAUAUAAGCCAAAGUCCACAAUUAAUUUUAUCCACACGUAUUGUGAGAACCAUAACUUUUGAACCAUACAUUUCAUACACUUUUAUCAAAAUUUUCUAAACAUUUAAUUUUAAUCCUCCCCAAACAAAGGUUUAUUGUUUAUUUGGAAAAUAAUGAAAAGUUGAAGUCAAAGUCAAUAAUUAUUUUAAUUACAUAUUUUCAGAUUUGGUACUUUAUCAAUUUUUGAAUCAUAUAUUUUCAUUAAUUUUUAUUAAAAUCUAUUAAAUUUUUCAUCAAAAGCUUGUUGGUGACAGUGUUGAAUUAGAAUUGACUUGAUGGUGAAUGUAUGGCGGGUGUGGUGGAUUGGGGGAGUUAGAUUACAGGUGAAACAGUAGGAGAGGUGAAGGCAGUUGCAGAUAUGCACCAAAGGAAAGCAGAGAUGGCCAGACAUUCUGAUGCAUUUAUUGCAUUACCUGGUUUGUACUAUUUUUAAAAAGAAAUUUAUAAAAUACAUCAUAUACAUGAGUCAUAGUUAGGCUAUUUUUGAAAAGUUAAAAGUUAUUUUGAAUUUUAAUAAACUAUUUUCAAAUAUGUUUGAAUCAUUUCUUGGAAAUGCUUUAUCUUAACAGAAGAGUUUUUAGAAAAAACUUGAACUAAGAUAACUUUCUUGAACUCUUUUAUAAAUAUUAGAAGCAAAAAUGACAAUCAUGCAAGUUUUAAGUAGAAGCUAUUCUGUAAAAACAAAAGCACUGCCAAAUAGGCUCUUACACUUUAACUUAGUAUUUAAUGAAACAAUAAAGCUAUAGGUACAAGGACCUGCCAGGUGAGAGAGGAGGUGGGGGCGGACCCCACCUUUUUUUUUUCAUAAUGCGUGUGGAGCCUGACCCCCACGGUGAGGGGCCUGUGAACUGAGCUCCUGUACGUGGAGCUCGGUCCUGAAUGAAAUUGCAUAUUACAUAUUAAUUUUUUUACUGAAUACCAUACUUGAAAAUAACAAAUCGCACUUUCUAUAUUAUUUUUUAUAACACUUCACGUUAUGAACCGUAAAUUUAAGGUGGUUAUGGCACUCUUGAGGAGCUCCUUGAAGUAAUAGCGUGGGCUCAACUCGGGAUCCAUGACAAACCGGUAAUUUCAUUUUUCUUUUCAUAUAUUAUUUUUAAAAUUCUAAUUGUUUAUUCUGAAUUUUGAAAAGAAAUAUAAUAAAUUAUAAUCUUGUGUAUGCAGGUAGGGUUGUUGAAUGUGGAUGGUUAUUAUGAGUCACUGUUAUCUUUUAUUGACAAAGCAGUAGAAGAAGGUUUCAUUAGUUCAACUGCACGUCAUAUUGUUGUAUCAGCGCCUACAGUCAAGGAACUUGUGAAGAAAAUGGAGGCAUAAGUUUCGAGAUCACUUGUUUAACAAUAAAUAAUAUGUAAUAGUUGAAAAUCCUGUCGAGAUUUUCCUUACUUUACAAGGUAAACUCGAUAAUUUAUUUUGUUUGAAUCAACUUUGAAUGUUAUUGAACUAGUUUAUGAGUAUUCAAUUAAGCCAAAAUGAAAGCAUAGAAUUGUCAAAAAA
rnacentral:lncRNA from 1 species